AGAGUUUGAUCCUGGCUCAGAUUGAACGCUGGCGGCAUGCCUUACACAUGCAAGUCGAACGGUAACGGGCCUUCGGGUGCCGACGAGUGGCGAACGGGUGAGUAAUGUAUCGGAACGUACCUUUCAGUGGGGGAUAACGUAGCGAAAGUUACGCUAAUACCGCAUAUUCUGUGAGCAGGAAAGCAGGGGAUCGCAAGACCUUGCGCUGAUUGAGCGGCCGAUAUCAGAUUAGCUAGUUGGUGAGGUAAAGGCUCACCAAGGCGACGAUCUGUAGCGGGUCUGAGAGGAUGAUCCGCCACACUGGAACUGAGACACGGUCCAGACUCCUACGGGAGGCAGCAGUGGGGAAUUUUGGACAAUGGGGCAACCCUGAUCCAGCCAUGCCGCGUGAGUGAAGAAGGCCUUCGGGUUGUAAAGCUCUUUCGGCCGGGAAGAAAUCGUAUGGGCUAAUACCCUGUGCGGAUGACGGUACCGGCAUAAGAAGCACCGGCUAACUACGUG
rnacentral:rRNA from 1 species